rnacentral:ncRNA from 1 species
UUACAUAAUUAAUAAUUAUAAUGCCUCUUUAAGUUCUUUAAAAACUUAAUAGAAAAUUGGGUGAAUUGCAAAAAACACCUUAUUUGCAGAUAGCCUAGUACGCUAUUAUCGGCUACUAGCCUAUCUGCUGCAAAGCUGCUAGUAGCAGUUAAGGUCAAUUUGCAGCGAAUAUUUAUUCGGUAUAAAAUCGAUUACGCGGUUAGAAUAAAGAACGUUCAACGACUAACAGGUGAGUAAUACCUACAAUAAUCCUGUACUGUUAAAUUUGUUGCAGCUAAGGCUGCAACAGCUGCUUGCCUCAGGCAACAGAACAACAGAAGCGCCCAAUCAGUUGUAAAAUUAAAAAUACAUAAAAAAAAAUUUUGUUUUUGUUUUCAACUGAAUGACAUAGUCUGAACUAUAUUGUAAAAUAUAG